rnacentral:rRNA from 1 species
AUUGAACGCUGGCGGCAUGCCUUACACAUGCAAGUCGAACGGUAACAGGUUAAGCUGACGAGUGGCGAACGGGUGAGUAAUGUAUCGGAACGUGCCCAGUCGUGGGGGAUAACUGCUCGAAAGAGCAGCUAAUACCGCAUACGACCUGAGGGUGAAAGCGGGGGAUCGCAAGACCUCGCGCGAUUGGAGCGGCCGAUAUCAGAUUAGGUAGUUGUUGAGGUAAAGGCUCACCAAGCCGACGAUCUGUAGCUGGUCUGAGAGGACGACCAGCCACACUGGGACUGAGACACGGCCCAGACUCCUACGGGAGGCAGCAGUGGGGAAUUUUGGACAAUGGGCGCAAGCCUGAUCCAGCCAUGCCGCGUGCGGGAAGAAGGCCUUCGGGUUGUAAACCGCUUUUGUCAGGGAAGAAAAGGUUCUGGCUAAUACCUGGGACUCAUGACGGUACCUGAAGAAUAAGCACCGGCUAACUACGUG